rnacentral:rRNA from 1 species
UACGGAGGGUGCGAGCGUUGUCCGGAAUCACUGGGCGUAAAGGGCGCGUAGGCGGCCUGAUAAGUAGGGGGUGAAAUCCUGCGGCUUAACCGCAGGGCUGCCUUCUAAACUGUCAGGCUUGAGCACAGUAGAGGCAGGUGGAAUUCCCGGUGUAGCGGUGGAAUGCGUAGAGAUCGGGAAGAACAUCAGUGGCGAAGGCGGCCUGCUGGGCUGCACCUGACGCUGAACCGCGGAAAGCGUGGGGAGCAAACAGG